UCUUCACCCCUUCAGUGAUGUGCUGGUGAGUGGGCUGGGUCCCAGUUCUCAGCAUGAAUUUUCCUUUUAGCUUUUAGUGAUUUUGAGGGCCCAAGAUAUUUUCCUUUCACAGCUCUUCUGGAUGAUAUAUGAGUGUGUAUGUUGUCAUCUAUCGUCUCUCUCUCUCUCUCUCAUGUGGCUGUGUAUGUAUUGAUGGAUAUGUGUGUGUAUCACAUAUGUUUGUAUGUAAGUGUAUGUGUGUAUGUAUGUAUACGGUUCUUCAAUCCUUCCAGUGACUGAAUGGAGUAGAUAUUGCCAUCAGCCUUAAUUUGCAGUUGGAGGAUGGAGGUGUGGGUGCAAAUGCACU
rnacentral:lncRNA from 1 species